GAUGAACGCUGGCGGCGUGCCUAAUACAUGCAAGUCGAGCGAACAGACGAGGAGCUUGCUCCUCUGACGUUAGCGGCGGACGGGUGAGUAACACGUGGAUAACCUACCUAUAAGACUGGGAUAACUUCGGGAAACCGGAGCUAAUACCGGAUAAUAUAUUGAACCGCAUGGUUCAAUAGUGAAAGACGGUUUUGCUGUCACUUAUAGAUGGAUCCGCGCCGCAUUACCUAGUUGGUAAGGUAACGGCUUACCAAGGCAACGAUGCGUAGCCGACCUGAGAGGGUGAUCGGCCACACUGGAACUGAGACACGGUCCAGACUCCUACGGGAGGCAGCAGUAGGGAAUCUUCCGCAAUGGGCGAAAGCCUGACGGAGCAACGCCGCGUGAGUGAUGAAGGUCUUCGGAUCGUAAAACUCUGUUAUUAGGGAAGAACAAAUGUGUAAGUAACUAUGCACGUCUUGACGGUACCUAAUCAGAAGGCCACGGCUAACUACGUG
rnacentral:rRNA from 1 species